CUGAGGCGUGAUGACGAGGCACUACGGUGCUGAAGCAACAAAUGCCCUGCUUCCAGGAAAAGCCUCUAAGCAUCAGGUAACAUCAAAUCGUACCCCAAACCGACACAGGUGGUCAGGUAGAGAAUACCAAGGCGCUUGAGAGAACUCGGGUGAAGGAACUAGGCAAAAUGGUGCCGUAACUUCGGGAGAAGGCACGCUGACACGUAGGUGAAGUGAUUUACUCAUGGAGCUGAAGUCAGUCGAAGAUACCAGCUGGCUGCAACUGUUUAUUAAAAACACAGCACUGUGCAAACACGAAAGUGGACGUAUACGGUGUGACGCCUGCCCGGUGCCGGAAGGUUAAUUGAUGGGGUCAGCGCAAGCGAAGCUCCUGAUCGAAGCCCCGGUAAACGGCGGCCGUAACUAUAACGGUCCUAAGGUAGCGAAAUUCCUUGUCGGGUAAGUUCCGACCUGCACGAAUGGCGUAAUGAUGGCCAGGCUGUCUCCACCCGAGACUCAGUGAAAUUGAACUCGCUGUGAAGAUGCAGUGUACCCGCGGCAAGACGGAAAGACCCCGUGAACCUUUACUAUAGCUUGACACUGAACAUUGAGCCUUGAUGUGUAGGAUAGGUGGGAGGCUUUGAAGUGUGGACGCCAGUCUGCAUGGAGCCGACCUUGAAAUACCACCCUUUAAUGUUUGAUGUUCUAACGUGGACCCGUGAUCCGGGUUGCGGACAGUGUCUGGUGGGUAGUUUGACUGGGGCGGUCUCCUCCUAAAGAGUAACGGAGGAGCACGAAGGUUGGCUAAUCCUGGUCGGACAUCAGGAGGUUAGUGCAAUGGCAUAAGCCAGCUUGACUGCGAGCGUGACGGCGCGAGCAGGUGCGAAAGCAGGUCAUAGUGAUCCGGUGGUUCUGAAUGGAAGGGCCAUCGCUCAACGGAUAAAAGGUACUCCGGGGAUAACAGGCUGAUACCGCCCAAGAGUUCAUAUCGACGGCGGUGUUUGGCACCUCGAUGUCGGCUCAUCACAUCCUGGGGCUGAAGUAGGUCCCAAGGGUAUGGCUGUUCGCCAUUUAAAGUGGUACGCGAGCUGGGUUUAGAACGUCGUGAGACAGUUCGGUCCCUAUCUGCCGUGGGCGCUGGAGAACUGAGGGGGGCUGCUCCUAGUACGAGAGGACCGGAGUGGACGCAUCACUGGUGUUCGGGUUGUCAUGCCAAUGGCACUGCCCGGUAGCUAAAUGCGGAAGAGAUAAGUGCUGAAAGCAUCUAAGCACGAAACUUGCCCCGAGAUGAGUUCUCCCUGAGACUUUAGAGUCUCCUGAAGGAACGUUGAAGACGACGACGUUGAUAGGCCGGGUGUGUAAGCGCAGCGAUGCGUUGAGCUAACCGGUACUAAUGAACCGUGAGGCUUAACCUUACAACGCCGAAG
rnacentral:rRNA from 1 species